GAAGUGGAUGGGUAUCUACAAAAUCGGCAGAGGUACACGCUAUGCUCUCGGCAUUUUGAUGAAGAUUGUUUCCUGUCCAUUGCAUCAGGAAAGAGGGUCCAUGUGAAUACUUCAAUUCCCACGAAAUACCUGACACUUGAUUCACCAAGCAACACCAGAGAUGUUUCACCGCCUGACACCCCGUCUCCACUGAUCUCCAUGAGAAACACUGCCAAACCACUGCGAGAUGUUGGAAACAUUUCGCCUGUAACACCAAUACCUCACAUGUCAUCAACCGCCCUAAGGACCAGUUUACUUAUUGACACACCUACCACAAUUCCAUUGUUGAGCUCCCACACUGCAGCACCACACCAAAA